AUGGUGACCUGCCAGGUGAGAAGGGGGACACAGAACAAUCUCUUAGAAGGAAAGUGCCACAGUCACCAUCCUGGAUGAUCCCAGUGUGACAGCCACAGCUCGAGGGAUACAGGAGGAGGAUCGAGAGGACCAGGACAUUUGUUUUAGCCCCAGUUGGGUCAAUUCUGAGUGACUUCCGGAAGUCUGUUAACUUCCUGGGGCUCAUACGCAGCAGCUGUGAAAUCGAAUUGGAAGACACAAAUUUAGUUUACUCAGAACCUCAGAUUUCAGUGGUGAAUAAUACAGGGGUAAUUUUGCUUUUGGGUGUGAUAUUUUCCUCUGAGAACAGAGGUAGAUGUGACUGACAACCAAUUCUUCACAGGACUCAAACUCAGAUGAAUAGAAGACAAGCUCCUCUCAGGGAAGCUACCUUUGGUCAGGUGGGUCAUGGUUGUCCCCUGAGAGUUGUUUCUUGGUGAAAAUGCUCUUAUCAACCUCUGCUAAUGAACAUAAUGGAUAGUAAUCCUAUGCUGGUACUAAUGAUAUAUAAUGACAGUAAUUCUAUUAUUAUAUGGCACAAGGUGACCUAGUGUCACUCUUCGAAAUAUUAGUUUCAUCUGGCUCUGGCAGAAAGAAAAAUCAGAACAUUAGAAACAAGAAAAGAGCCCAGCCCAGUGCUUCCGUGUUUGCUGGUAAGUGGGCAGGGCUUCCCCUGGACCUACUGAUCAGAAUUAAAUCCAUCUGACAAAACUUUUUGUUUGUUUGUCUGUAGUACAUUGAGCAGAAACUCACAUACCCUUGCUUCACCUCUACUGUGAACUUUGAACUAUUAAACUGCAUAUUGUUUCAAGGCACUUAGCACAUGGUAGCUUGUUUUGUAGCAAUAAAGGUAAAUAAAACUCUAUUGUUUUAAGAAAGAGCAUAAUUCGAGCCCAAUGAGUCAUUGUUACCCAUAAAAAUUCUAAUGAGAAUGAUGCAGAUCUUGAAAUAAGAAAGGUACAUUCUAGGGGCCCUAUCAAAAGUGCAUGGAGCAGGAAAGACAAAGGCUAAGUUGUUUUACCACCAGCUUCUUCUGGAACUCCUGCUCAUCAUCCUUGAAGGAGUGCUCCAUGAAGACAGCAAUGGCUUCCUUCUCACAGGCUGCAUGCACAGUCAGCAGCUCCUGGAGCGUGUCUGUGGGGAGCCUCAUUCGCUGGGCCAUCUGCUCACUGUAGUGGUCAGCUGCCUUCUGCACAGCUAUGGAGUUCUCACGCUGGGCCAGGGUUGUCACUGCGUUCUCCAGACAAGGCACAGUCCCACUGUUGAUGGCAUUCACAUAGGUCUGCACCAAAGUCCCCAGCCCUGAGAAAAACAUCGUUAAAAUAUGGAAAGUUUCCAAGGCCAGCCUAGUCUAUAGAAUGAAUUCCAGAAGAGCCAGGGCUACACAGAGAAAGCCUGUCUAGAAAACAAAACAAAACAAAACAAAACAAAACAAAUAAAAUAAAAUGAAAUGAAAUGAAAUAAAAUAAUCGUUCUCACUAAUUGUUGCUAUUAGCUUUAAGCCUAGCAUUAUUUAAAGCAUUAAAAUUCUAUUUAUCUUGAUGUUUUUGUCCUCUCUUACAUCUCCCAUAUCUUCUGUUCUCAUUUCAUGCACUCUUGGAAUCAGUAUCUACUUAAUAAAAUCAACUUCUUUCCUUUGUAGUUCUUAAAUUUAAUUCAUCAAAAAUAAUCAGUGAUUAUAAAUAUGAGGUUUCAAGGUUUCUUGGAAAGGGAAUUCUUCCAUAUAAAUCUAAUAAAAGUUGGUUUGAAAGAGAAAGUACAUUUCACUUUUUGUGAAACCAAAUUCCAAGUGAAAAGUCAAGUCCAAGCAAUAAAAAUCACCAUCAGAAAUUUGAAGACAGAAUAGAGAACAUGGAAUAACAUUAUGGACACAUUUCAGGGGCAAAGCAAAGUUACAUAGGCAGUGUGUCUAUCAGGUUUAGUAUGUUGAAAUUGAUUUCUCCAACUGCAUGGGUCUCUUGGCCGGCUGUGUUCUAACUGGUGUCAUAAUCCAUAUAAUCAAACUGAGACCCUCUUCCAGGAACCCCACGUCACCUGGCAGAUUUCUGUCUGUCAUCUCAUAGUGUUAGUUGUGUGAGAUGUGCUAGACUUCUCAUGUACAGAAAGUUCCAGUAUGGAACAUGCAUGUGUGAUAUGCACAUUUAUCUCUCCAUAUUCCUUUACAUGAGCAAACAGAAAUGUUCAAGACCACAGAAGAAUCGCAGCUGCUUCACAUGUUCUAAACCACAGAGACAUGCUUGGGACAAGAGAAACUCACGAUUUCCUGUGACAAUGACUCCCCCUCUCAGAGUCUUGGUCUUGCCGUUGGUGAAGAUGUAGGAACAGAAUUUUUCUGAUUCAACCUGGAAAUUCCGUUCCAGUUGGUUUUCUGGAACAUUUUCAAUUUGGAGCAAUAAACGUUUGUCGCUUGUGGGCCUGUCAAAGACAAAGCACUUCCGUACCGGAAAAAAAUAUCUGAUACAUUCUCUGGUCAUGUUGGACUGUUGGACUUUGAGAUUGUCUCCUGAAAAGAAAAAAAAAAAAAAAAAAAGCUGAU